rnacentral:rRNA from 1 species
UACGAAGGGGGCUAGCGUUGUUCGGAAUCACUGGGCGUAAAGGGCGCGUAGGCGGCCGAUCAAGUCGGGGGGGAAAGCCUGUGGCUUAACCACAGAAUGGCCUUCGAUACUGUUUGGCUUGAGACCGGAAGAGGUUAGUGGAACUGCGAGUGUAGAGGUGAAAUUCGUAGAUAUUCGCAAGAACACCAGUGGCGAAGGCGGCUGACUGGUCCGGUUCUGACGCUGAGGCGCGAAAGCGUGGGGAGCAAACAGG